GCCCAUAUGGCGAAAUGGCAGACGCUGUGGACUUAAAAUCCACUGGAGAAAUCCGUGCCUGUUCGAAUCCGGCUAUGGGUAUCA
rnacentral:tRNA from 1 species